CGUUUUUCUCAACCCAGUCGGAAGCCAUUGAAAGCAUGGCAAGUGAACAAUUGAGUCGUAUGUGGUCUCUUAAUGGAAUGACUGCCCUUGUUAUUGCUGGCACCAGAGGCAUUGGGUAAGCAAAUUUCUUCAAAUAUAGUUCCUGGUAUUUAUAUUUAUAUCAAAAAAUUAGUAAAUUCAUUUCAACAUUAGUUUUCUCAAUCACUCCUCAAAAGGGUAUGUUAACUGUUAACAACCAAUUGGACAACUUUUAAUGAGCAGAAAAACCUACUCAAUCACGGUCAUAUCUCGUUUCGUAUACAUAAAUCCUUACUUCCUUCACUUGUUCUAGUAUAUAUGUGCGAUUAUGUCCCUAGUAGCUUUAAUGCAACAUUCAAAAUGCGUGUCCCCAUUUUAACUAUUUGACCCAAAAUUUCAGGCAUUCCAUAGUGGAAGAGUUAGCAGGAUUUGGAGCCACAGUAUACACAUGUUCAAGAAACCAAAAGGAACUUAAUGAAAGGCUGCAAGAAUGGGGAGCACAGGGUUUCAAAGUCUAUCGUUCAACUUGCGAUAAGGCUUCAAGAACAGAAAGAGAGGAACUAAUAAAGAACGUCUCUUCCACCUUCGACGGCAAGCUGAACUUACUGGUAAGUACAAAUUCUGAUCCAUAAAAAUGGUUGGUCCAUCUAUUUCUUGACUUGUUAAAGAAUCAUAAACAUCAUUUCUGUUUAGAAUUUUAGUAUUUGCAUCCAAAGUAAUUCUUAGGGGAAAUAUUUCGGAUAUCUUGGUUUGAAUUAAUUUCCCAAAUGCGGACUGCAGUGCAGAUAUUUUGUAGGAUGUGCCUCCCAUCAGAUUUUUAACAAUUUGACUGCCAUUACCAUUUGGCAAUUAGAACUUUUAAUUUUCUCACCCGCACAGAGUAGCAAUCAUAACACACAAAUUUCUCUUUGACAUUUCACCAAACAUCUUAUAUACAUUCCCAAAUUAAUCACAUUUAACUUAAACACCUAGUCUCAAGUCCUUUCCUAGAUGUUUCAUAUGGCCAUUAAGCAUAUUUUACCCGUAGACAAUCAAAACUACAACCAUGUCCUAGAUGCUUCAACGGACAUUUUCAGCCCCAAAAUUGCAAUAAAUUUUUCAAAUUCUCAGCCCUGAUUUUGCAAGAAAAUCUUGACAAACAAAACAAAUGAAAUAUAAAUAAAUUACAGCAAUAUAAUCAAACGAUUUCAAGAGAACAUGAUGGUCUAACCUCGUCACCGCUAUUUUUCAUAUGUUUUUUGGUUGGCUACCACCGUUGCUAACCCUUUUGUUGUGUCUGAUAGGGGGGAAACCCUUUCUCCUGAACCUGUGCUAUCUAUAAAGCAUAUUUAGCUUUUCCUCCGCGCCUAGGCAGGCCAAUUGAUUGACCGAAAUGAGAAUCAAUGCUUAGUAAAAGGCAGAAAAAGAGACUGAGACAUGAAACCUACCAGAAGAGUUCAGCCUGAAGAUAUGAUAGAAUUGCAUAGCCCGCUUGAUCAAUUUUCUAAAUUUUAGCUAAAGCUAAUCCCGUUCCAUA
rnacentral:lncRNA from 1 species